GGGGAGGAAGAAGGGGAAAACAUGAUAGAAGAAGACCUGCAGAUCUCAGAAGCCGCCACUACUACUCUGUCACAAGAUAAACUGGAAGAAAUUGCUGGUUGUCAGGAAUUGACCAGAAUCAGUGACAGUGAUUCCAACAUUUAUCUCCGAAAAAGAUCUCCCAAUACUUCUGAGGAGGAAACCUAUGGUGUAAACGAGCAGAAGAUGAGAGAUACGGGUGAAGAUCCAUUAAUCAUCAGGAAGAAAAAGGACUUGGAAGCAAGUGAGACUCCAGCACCAACUCAUGAAAUUACAAUUGUUGAGCAGCCAGAGCUAUUCUACUUCAUCAUUUUCUUCUGGGUGCUGGCCUACUGCCUUUUACUCCUUCCACAGCUUCUUAGCAACAAAGUUUGAUCUCUAUGAUGUGUAGAGAAGUAACGGAUGGUGGCUGGAUUGCUUUGCGUAUCUGCAUAUGAAUAUGUUCCUUCAGGUGAAGCACAAACAGAAAUGUAGGACCUGGUAUUUGUGUUUAUUAUCAGGUUGUCCUCAAUUCCUCUACUGUUGUGCUAUGACAGUGUCUCAGCACAUUUUAUAUUAUGAUAAUUGUGUAAAUAUAUAUAAAAAUUACCUGAUUUAGUAGACGCAAUUUUGUACAUUUGUGCCUUGCUUUAUAAGAUGCUAAAUAAAACCAGGUAAUUAUCAGUAGAAAUAUAAGCAAUUCAGAGCUCUAGUCUUCAAAAAUGAUUCUUCUGGCUUCAUUUGCUUAUAUAGGGCCUGACAGCUGUGGAAGAGGGGUGGUGUUGACUUGCCCAUGAAUCAGCCCACCUGCAUAGAAAUGUUUUUUCAUGUUUUACAUGGAAUUCU
rnacentral:lncRNA from 1 species